rnacentral:tRNA from 1 species
GAGCUCGUGGCGCAGGGGGUAGAGCGUUGGACUUCUGCCCAACAAGGUCGCGAGUUCGAGUCUCAACGAGCUCG